UUUGAAAAAAUUGAAAAUUUGAGAAAAAUUUUUUUUGGAAUUUUCGAAAUUUUU
rnacentral:sRNA from 1 species